rnacentral:tRNA from 1 species
GGCGGGAUAGCUCAGCCGGUUAGAGCGUCGGAAUCAUAAUCCGUAGGUCGUGGGUUCGAAUCCCUCUCCCGCUA